rnacentral:lncRNA from 1 species
CAGAAAUAACUCAGUCCAUGCUGUCCAGAUGCAGUUCUGUUCUGUAGAGAUGAAGAAUAAGAAUCAUCAAAGUGGAAAAACCUCUGUCCUGCUCCAAAUUCUGGUCCACACAGGAGUAGUACUACUGGAGAGAAAAGCCAUACAUGUCCCAAAUGAAGGAAAGCCUUUACGUUAUCAGUCAUUUCUUAUGAGACAUAUGAAACUUCACACUGGAGAGAAACCUUAUGAAUGUAACAAAAGUGAGAAAGGCUUUAGAUAUUCCCUACACCUUAAUAAAUAUUUAAGAAAGAACAUUCUGGAGAAGCCCUAUGGAUGUAAGGAAUGUGGGAAAGCCUUCAGCAAGGCUCAAAACAUGCACAUAUAAGGAGUCACACUGGAAGAAACCCUAUAAAUGUGAUAAAUGUGAAAAAGACUUUGCAAAGUCACCAGAAUUAAAAGCCAUCUUAAGAUUCACAAUAGUGAGAAG